UUGACCUCGAAUCAGGUAGGAAUACCCGCUGAACUUAAGCAUAUCAAUAAGCGGAGGAAAAGAAACCAACAGGGAUUGCCCCAGUAACGGCGAGUGAAGCGGCAACAGCUCAAAUUUGAAAUCUGGCCCCUUGGGGCCCGAGUUGUAAUUUGCAGAGGAUACUUUUGGCGAGGCGCCUUCCGAGUUCCCUGGAACGGGACGCCAUAGAGGGUGAGAGCCCCGUCUGGUUGGAUGCCGAGCCUCUGUAAAGUUCCUUCGACGAGUCGAGUAGUUUGGGAAUGCUGCUCUAAAUGGGAGGUAUAUGUCUUCUAAAGCUAAAUAUUGGCCAGAGACCGAUAGCGCACAAGUAGAGUGAUCGAAAGAUGAAAAGCACUUUGGAAAGAGGGUUAAAAAGCACGUGAAAUUGUUGAAAGGGAAGCGCUUGUGACCAGACGUGGGCCUGUCGGAUCAUCCAGCGUUCUCGCUGGUGCACUCCGGCGGGCUCAGGCCAGCAUCAGCUCGUCCCGGGGGACAAAGGCAGCGGGAAUGUGGCUCCUUCGGGAGUGUUAUAGCCCGCUGCGUAAUGCCCUGGGGCGGGCUGAGGUUCGCGCAUCUGCAUG
rnacentral:rRNA from 1 species